rnacentral:rRNA from 1 species
CCUACGGGAGGCAGCAGUGGGGAAUUUUGCGCAAUGCUCGUAAGAGUGACGCAUCGACGCCGCGUGAAUGACGAAGGCCUUCGGGUCGUAAAGUUCUUUCGACAGGGAAGAAAAUGCCUAUAAGUAACUGUGUAUGUCUUGACGGUACCUGUAUAAGCAGCCCCGGCUAACUACGUGCCAGCAGCCGCGGUAAUACGGAGGGGGCGAGCGUUGUUCGGCGUGACUGGGCGUAAAGAGCACGUAGGCGGUGUUGUAAGUCAUUAGUCAAAGACUAGAGCUCAACUUUAGUAAGGCUAGUGAUACUAUAAAACUAGAGUAUCAGAGAGGAUUGCAGAAGUCCUGGUGUAGCGGUGAAAUGCGUAGAUAUCAGGAGGAAUACCGUUAGCGAAGGCGGCAAUCUGGCUGGAAACUGACGCUGAGGUGCGAAAGCGUGGGUAGCAAACAGGAUUAGAUACCCCUGUAGUC